rnacentral:rRNA from 1 species
GCUCGUGUCGUGAGAUGUUGGGUUAAGUCCCGGCAACGAGCGCAACCCCUGUCCUCAGUUGCCAUCAUUAGGUUGGGGACUCUGAGGAUACUGCCCCGGUCAACGGGAGGAAGGCGGGGAUGACGUCAAAGUCCUCAUGGCCUUUAUGCCUGGGGCCACACACGUGCUACAAUGGGCGGUACAAAGGGCAGCGACCCCGCGAGGGUGUGCGAAUCCCAAAAAGCCGUCCCCAGUUCGGAUCGGAGUCUGCAACCCGACUCCGUGAAGCCGGAAUCGCUAGUAAUUGCGGAUCAGCACGCCGCGGUGAAUACGUUCCCGGGCCUU